UACAGAGGGUGCGAGCGUUGUUCGGAAUUAUUGGGCGUAAAGCGCGUGUAGGCGGGAUGGCAAGUCGGGUGUGAAAGCCCUCAGCUCAACUGAGGAAGUGCGCCCGAAACUACUGUUCUUGAGUGUCGGAGAGGGUGGCGGAAUUCCCGGUGUAGAGGUGAAAUUCGUAGAUAUCGGGAGGAACACCAGAGGCGAAGGCGGCCACCUGGACGAACACUGACGCUGAGACGCGAAAGCGUGGGAGCAACAG
rnacentral:rRNA from 1 species